UGCCUGAAAGCUUUGCUCUGAAGCACCGGGCUUUUAACCUGGUGAAGGGACCCCCUCAGGCUA
rnacentral:tRNA from 1 species